rnacentral:rRNA from 1 species
UACGUAGGGGGCGAGCGUUGUCCGGAAUCAUUGGGCGUAAAGCGCGUGUAGGCGGUUCGGUAAGUCUGCUGUGAAAGUCAAAGGCUCAACCUUUGAAUGUCAGCGGAUACUGCCGGGCUAGAGUCCGGAAGAGGCGAGUGGAACUCCUGGUGUAGCGGUGAAAUGCGUAGAUAUCGGGAGGAACACCUGUGGCGAAAGCGGCGCACUGGACCACAUCUGACGCUGAGGCGCGAAAGCUAGGGGAGCAAACAGG